rfam:Salmo salar isolate Sally breed double haploid chromosome ssa11, whole genome shotgun sequence.
UGGCUCAGUUGGUAGGGCAUGGUGUUUGCAAUGCCAGGGUUGUGGGUUCGAUUCCCAC